CCUACGGGUGGCAGCAGUGAGGAAUAUUGCACAAUGGGGGAAACCCUGAUGCAGCGACGCCGCGUGAGUGAAGAAGUAUUUCGGUAUGUAAAGCUCUAUCAGCAGGGAAGAAAAUGACGGUACCUGAUUAAGAAGCCCCGGCUAACUACGUGCCAGCAGCCGCGGUAAUACGUAGGGGGCAGGCGUUAUCCGGAUUUACUGGGUGUAAGGGGAGCGUAGACGGCAGCACAAGUCUGGAGUGAAAUGCCGGGGCUUAACCCCGGAACUGCUUUGGAAACUGGGCAGCUAGAGUGCAGGAGAGGUAAGUGGAAUUCCUAGUGUAGCGGUGAAAUGCGUAGAUAUUAGGAGGAACACCAGUGGCGAAGGCGGCUUACUGGACUGUAACUGACGUUGAGGCUCGAAAGCGUGGGGAGCAAACAGGAUUAGAUACCCCAGUAGUC
rnacentral:rRNA from 1 species